rnacentral:misc_RNA from 1 species
GACUUUUUUUUUUUUUUUUAUCCUUUUUCUCUACUUCAGGGCUAGUUGUCAUGUUUGGACUUAGAGAAUUUUGAUGACCUCAGGAAUAGAUACUGUAAAUUAUUUUACCUGGUAAAAGUUGCUCAACGUGUUGUACUUGCGUUUGUCGAUAAGCAUACUGUAAAUUUUUUUACCAUGUAAAAAUGCACAAAUUAUACUAUAAAUUUUUUUACCAUGUAAAAAAAAUUUGUUGACUUCAGGGCUAGUUUUUAGUAGAGAUGUUGCAGCCAAGGACCAUAUUUUUGUGUUACACUUUCAGCUUCUCAGCUAUAACACCUUCAA